rnacentral:rRNA from 1 species
GUGGGGAAUUUUGGACAAUGGGCGCAAGCCUGAUCCAGCAAUGCCGCGUGCAGGAAGAAGGCCUUCGGGUUGUAAACUGCUUUUGUACGGAACGAAACGGUCCGGGUUAAUACCCUGGGCUAAUGACGGUACCGUAAGAAUAAGCACCGGCUAACUACGUGCCAGCAGCCGCGGUAAUACGUAGGGUGCAAGCGUUAAUCGGAAUUACUGGGCGUAAAGCGUGCGCAGGCGGUUUUGUAAGACAGGCGUGAAAUCCCCGGGCUCAACCUGGGAAUUGCGCUUGUGACUGCAAGGCUGGAGUGCGGCAGAGGGGGAUGGAAGUCCGCGUGUAGCAGUGAAAUGCGUAGAUAUGCGGAGGAACACCGAUGGCGAAGGCAAUCCCCUGGGCCUGCACUGACGCUCAUGCACGAAAGCGUGGGGAGCAAACAGGAUUAGAAACCCGUGUAGUCC